CUGAGAAGAUAGUGGCGAACGGGUGAGUAACACGUGGGUAACCUGCCCAUAAGAGGGGGAUAACAUCCGGAAACGGUGCUAAUACCGCAUAGUUUCUUGAUCGCAUGAUCGGGAAGGAAAGACGGCCUUUGUGCUGUCGCUUAUGGAUGGACCCGCGGCGUAUUAGUUAGUUGGUGAGGUAACGGCUCACCAAGACGAUGAUACGUAGCCGACCUGAGACGGGUGAUCGGCCACAUUGGGACUGAGACACGGCCCAAACUCCUACGGAGGCAGCAGUAGGGAAUCUUCCGCAAUGGACGAAAGUCUGACGGAGCGACGCCGCGUGAGUGAAGAAAGGUUUUCGGAUCGUAAAACUCUGUUGUCAGAGAAGAACAAGUUGGAGAGUAACUGCUCCAGCCUUGACGGUAUCUGACCAGAAAGCCACGGCUAACUACGUGCCAGCAGCCGC
rnacentral:rRNA from 1 species